rnacentral:rRNA from 1 species
CACGUAGGGCGCAAGCGUUGUCCGGAAUUAUUGGGCGUAAAGAGCUCGUAGGCGGUCUGUUGCGUCCGCUGUGAAAACUCGGGGCUUAACCCCGAGCCUGCAGUGGAUACGGGCAGACUAGAGGUAGGUAGGGGAGAAUGGAAUUCCCGGUGUAGCGGUGAAAUGCGCAGAUAUCGGGAGGAACACCGGUGGCGAAGGCGGUUCUCUGGACCUUACCUGACGCUGAGGAGCGAAAGCGUGGGGAGCGAACAGG